rnacentral:rRNA from 1 species
AGUCGAGCGGUAGAAAGUAGCUUGCUACUUUUGAGAGCGGCGGACGGGUGAGUAAUGCGUGGGAAUCGACCUGGUAGUGGGGGNCAACAGUUGGAAACGACUGCUAAUACCGCAUACGCCCUACGGGGGAAAGCGGGGGAUCUUCGGACCUCGUGCUAUCAGAUGAGCCCGCGUGAGAUUAGCUUGUUGGUGGGGUAAUGGCCUACCAAGGCGACGAUCUCUAGCUGGUCUGAGAGGAUGAUCAGCCACACUGGGACUGAGACACGGCCCAGACUCCUACGGGAGGCAGCAGUGGGGAAUAUUGGACAAUGGGCGCAAGCCUGAUCCAGCCAUGCCGCGUGUGUGAAGAAGGCCUUCGGGUUGUAAAGCACUUUUAGCGAGGAGGAAAGGUUAAGUGUUAAUAGCACUUAGCUGUGACGUUACUCGCAGAAGAAGCACC